rnacentral:miRNA from 1 species
UCUAGAGGAAGCACUUUCUGUU